rnacentral:rRNA from 1 species
UGGGGAAUAUUGCACAAUGGGCGCAAGCCUGAUGCAGCCAUGCCGCGUGUAUGAAGAAGGCCUUCGGGUUGUAAAGUACUUUCAGUCGGGAGGAAGGUGGUAAGGUUAAUAACCUUAUCAAUUGACGUUACCGACAGAAGAAGCACCGGCUAACUCCGUGCCAGCAGCCGCGGUAAUACGGAGGGUGCAAGCGUUAAUCGGAAUUACUGGGCGUAAAGCGCACGCAGGCGGUUGAUUGAGUCAGAUGUGAAAUCCCCGGGCUUAACCCGGGAAUUGCAUCUGAUACUGGUCAGCUGGAAUCUUGUAGAGGGGGGUAGAAUUCCAUGUGUGGCGGUGAUAUGCGUAGAGAUGUGGAGGACUACCGGUGGCGAAGGCGGCCCCCUGGACAAAGACUGACGCUCAGGUGCGAAAGCGUGGGGAGCAAACAGG